AACUUGAAAUAAUUUUAUUAAAGUGGACAAAAGUGUUUAUUUUAACAUAACAAAAGAGAAAAAUAUUAUUCAAACUUCCUUCAACAGAGGGGAUUAUCAUUUACUAAAAUAAAUAUAAGUGUGAAACAAAUCAUACGAGCAGCAAGAUAAUUUUAUUUUUAUUUUAAUUAACUUUUAUGGCUUCUUUGUGAGCAUCCCGAGACAUGCACAAAUCCCAAAUUUUGGCCUUAUAAAUUCGGGCUCUGAAACCCAAAACCCGCAGACUGGACUUUCGUCAGCUUCGAUACACUCAUAAUCUUGACAAUCCGCAUUAUUUUGGCACGCAGCUAAUAAGAAUUAAGGAACAUUAUUAAAAUGAGGGUGAAACAAUUUGAAUAAGAAAAUUUAAAGGUAAAAAUUAUUAGGAAUAUACAUAUAUAAAAUCUAGACAAAAUUCAUUUAAAAUUUUAAUUUAUUUUAAUAAAAAUUAGGGCUAAACAAGUUUUUGAACGAUAUAAAUAUUCUCAAAUUUCAUUAUUAGUCUAUAUAACAUAUCUCAGCAAGUUUUGGUCUCCCAAAUUUUUUUCAUAACUUUUGAUUCGUAUUUGUAAACAACUAAAUUUUUUGAGGGAGAGAUUUUUAUAUUAUUAUAAAUAUAAAUAUAAAUAUAAAAACUCAUUAAAAAUUAAGAAAGAUUGAUCAGGAAAUUAAAUUUUUUGUCAGAGAGUUUAUAUAAUGUAGUAAAUAUGAAUGCAGAAAAUAAUAAAAAUUUCAAGUAAUAUAAGAUGAGUUGACAAAGCCACUAGGUUUAGUUUAGUGGUGAGAGGUUUGAUCAGUAGUAUGCAUGGGGCUUUAAGUUCGACUCUCACCAAUUCCAUUAUAAACCAAAAAAUUAUAUAUAAAUGUGUUAACUUAAAAGCAUGGACAAAAAAUCGUACGGAAGAUAUUUGAAGAUCAAAACUUGCUGAAAUUUUUUAUAGGAGUUAAAAACGGAAUUUGACAUAUUUAUAUGUACAAAAUAAUUUUAGCAUAAAAUUAUUUAACCUUAUAAAUUAACAUAAAAAUACGUUAUUAAAUUUUGUAUAGAAAUACCACUAUAUCAAACUAAAUUUUGAGAUACCAUAGUUCACUUAAUUUAAAAGCAAUGAUAAAAAUUACUUACCACUUGUUAUAGAAAUAAAUAUGGAAAAAAAGAUAAUCGUUGCAAAAAUGAACAUAUAAACUUUAACCAUAUUUUUUCCUUUAUGAAUCUAGAAAUAGGAAUCAUUUGCUAGCUUUAUAGUGUGAAAACAAUUUCAUAGAUGUAAGGUUAUUAUUAAAAUUAUUUGUUAAUAUCAAAC
rnacentral:lncRNA from 1 species